rnacentral:rRNA from 1 species
UACACACCGCCCGUCGCAUCACGAAAGCCCGUUGUACUAGAAGCCGGUAAUUCAACCCGCAAGGGAGAUAGCCGUCCAAGGUAUGACUGGUGAUUGGGGUG